rnacentral:rRNA from 1 species
AGCGAACGCUGGCGGCAGGCUUAACACAUGCAAGUCGAGCGGGCACUUUCGGGUGUCAGCGGCGGACGGGUGAGUAACGCGUGGUGACGUGCCCGCUGGUUCGGAAUAAUUCAGGGAAACUUGAGCUAAUACCGGCUACGCCCUUUUGGGUAAAGGCUGGCAGCGGGAGGAUCGGCCGGCGCUCGAUUAGUCAGUUGGUGCGGGAACGGCGCACCAAGGCGAUGAUCAGAAGCUGGACAGAGAGGAUGGUCAGCCACACUGGGAGGGAGACACAGCCCAGAAUCCUAGGGGAGGGGGGAGUGGGGGAUAUUGGAAAAUGGGGGGAAGGCUGAUCCAGCCAUGCCGCGUGAGUGAUGAAGGCCGUAGGGUUGUAAAGCUCGUUUAUCCGGGACGAUAAUGACGGUACCGGAGGAAUAAGCCCCGGCUAACUUCGUG